ACAAGUCGACAAUUUCAUGUUUUUGAGCCGCUUCAUCCGUUAUGGUGCUCGAAAAGACCGACGAACCGUGAACUCAACUUGCAAAAUGGCUACUGGACCUGUAAAUAGCAAGUGAAACCAGCCAGGAGGUGUUUUUGUUUGUUUGUUUAAGCAUUGAUUUUUUUUUUCUCGUCUUAUCAAAUCAAGUCCUACUUAGUAAUGUGUAGUCGCCCUUUUUCGAGUGUAAAAGAUCGUCCAUGCGGUACUAGUCAUGGAUGUUGCUAACCUGUCAAGUCGCCGCUACUCCAGCGUUGUAUUCACAGAAAAUACUGCAAACGAAAACUUUCGACCGCCAAAUAAACUCCACUAAUCGCACUUUCAAUUCUCCAACCACAAGUGUGUUGAUGGCGGCUAACUCGUUCGUUUGCAUACCCUCGUGUGGUUUAGCGACUACAACAACGAUUUCAUAUAAAGGUGCCUUUGCAGAAUCCUUUCAAGUAUGUGAUGUUCAUGUGCGUGUCGUCUUUAUAUGUAUUCGGUCGAGAACAUGGACGUGAUUGUGCCUUUUUUUUUUUAAAAAACGGUUUUGAUAAUAAAUGCAUAUAGACGCACACGGAUAAUGUGGUGUUUUAAUUACAUGUCAAUAAAACAGACUGGAAGCGUUAAUGAAAAAGAAUAAGUGUUUUUUGUGGGGAAAUGGAACGUCGCACGAACAAUUAGACCAACAAUACGACAAAAUACAGGACUAAAAGCUAAAUAUUUCAUUGACCCUUCUCAUUUAAGAAAAUGUGCCUGCUCUUCAUGUUAAUUAAAUUAAAAUAUUUACACAAUGACAGCUAACUUUGAAUUACUGAAAAGUAAAGUUUUGGUGCAUGAUAAGAAAUGCCAACACAUCCAAACAAUCAGUAGAUACCAUGCAAAUGUGAGUAGUGUCAGAGCAAUUGAAGAAAGGGUGGGAUGUCAUCAUAUCAGUGUCACAUUAAUGGAUUCUGUGAUAAUGUAAAUAUUGGAAGACAACAAGAUCACAAUAUGGAACUGAAGAAAGAAAAUCGUAUAGAACUUCUAAUCUGCUUUGAAAGAAAAACAAUUCAUAGAAAACAUGGGGUAAAGGUUGCUUUUAUCAGUAGCAAGCAUGUAAUGUAUACAGAGACUAUGGAGAUUCACAACUGUACAUACUUGGUUUUCAUCAGGCAGCAGCAAUAUUGAUUUUUGAUGCUGUUGAUCUGUACUGCAUUAUAAGAGAUGACGAUCCAGAACAUUGCAAUGAGAAUAUUUUGUCCCACCCCUCUUAAGUCCCACGUUCUGUCUGCGAUGCCAUGACAUCGUUGAUUUUCUAUACACGAUGUCGCUUUUGAACUUUCUGCUCAAUUAUCAUUCAAGGUUUGUUUCGUAAUAAUUGAUUAAAAUAAAAGCUCAUUUGUUACAAAACAGCAGAUUUUGUUCUUUGACUUACAAUGUGCAUAAGACAUUUAGGAAUUGUAAUCACACGAUUAGCCGUUGUACCACUGAUGUCCAUCUUGCACGUAUAGUUGUCAGUCCGAAGCUGAGUUACAUGGACCCCACAAUGCCACAUACUGUAUGAAUAAUACAGUGUAAUGUACUUUUAUUUAAAUGAAAAGUAGUUAUUAAAUGCUUGGACUGGUGUCUCAGAAAUGCUGUGAUGAACAGCAAGCAGACUGGCAAAAUAAAACUGAUGGUGUCAGAUGGCAAGAUAAUGAUCCUGAGUAAAAUGGUUUUUGUUUCGCUUUAUGAAAAACGGCAGGAGUUUCUGAAUGUAUCCAGGUCUGGAACCAACUUAAGACAUUAAAUGUAUCCAAAAUUCAUUGGACCAUUUCCAAGUAAUUGAGAAUGCAGCUGCUUGGCUUUUGUCUGGAUCCAGGGCGGAGCUACGUGUUGGCCAGGGGAGGCUGUGGCCACCCUAGACUGAAAGUUGGCCAUCCCACUGUCCCCCCCGACGUGUUUGGCCACCCCACACAACAUUUUCUGGCUGCACCAUUGUCUGUCAGUGGGUUCUAUCAACAAAGCUGUGGCAGAAUUUAAGUCGGGAUAAGAUUGACGCAGAACCUCAUACAUUCUAAAGGAUGGCUGUUCUUUAAAGGACUUCAAGCAUGGGAGAAAUGUGCCCAGUGGAUGGACAACUGGACCUCAGACAAGUAGUACUGUAUGAGAUAAAUGUUGCCCACUCGACAUCCUGGUCAUCCUGAAAGGGGGAUCCCUCCCCUCUGUGCUCCUUUCUU